UGGGAAGGAUCAUUCAUAAUAAGUGUUUAUGGCACUUUUUAAAUCCAUAUCCACCUUGUGUGCAAUGUCAGCCGUCUUUUCUUUAUGGAAAGGCAGCCAAACAUCAACUUAUUUUUUUAACUGUCUGUCUGAAAACUAUUAUGAAUAAACAAUUCAAAUACAACUUUCAACAACGGAUCUCUUGGCUCUCGCAUCGAUGAAGAACGCAGCGAAAUGCGAUACGUAAUGUGAAUUGCAGAAUUCAGUGAAUCAUCGAAUCUUUGAACGCAUAUUGCGCUCUUUGGUAUUCCGAAGAGCAUGCUUGUUUGAGUAUCAGUAAACACCUCAAAGCCUUUAAUUCCGUUUGGAAGCUUUGGACUUGAGCAAUCCCAACACCAGUCUCGCGACUGGCGGAGGGUUGCUUGAAAUGCAGGUGCAGCUGGACAUUCUCCUGAGCUAUAAGCAUAUUUAUUUAGUCCCGUCAAACGGAUUAUUACUUUUGCUGCAGCUAACAUAAAGGGAGUCUGACCGCAUUAGCUGACUGAUGCAGGAUUUCACAAGGGACUGGCAACAGCCUCUUGUAAAACUCGAUCUCAAAUCAAGUAAGACUACCCGCUGAACUUAAGGUAUCAAUAAGCGGAGGAAAAAAGACAUUCAAAAAAGUGUUUAGGGCAUUUUUAAAUCAUAUCCCCUUGUGUGCAUGUCGCCGUCUUUCUUUUGGAAGGCGCCAACUCACUUAUUUUUUUACUGUCGCUGAAACUAUAUGAAUAACAUUCAAUAAACUUUACAAGGAUCUUGGCUUGCACGAUAAAAAGCACGAAUGGAUAGUAUGUGAAUGAGAAUUAUGAACACGAUCUUGAAGCAAUGGGCUUUGGUAUUCAAAAGCAGCUGUUGAGUAUAUUAAACUAAGCUUUAUUCGUUGGAACUUG
rnacentral:rRNA from 1 species